rnacentral:rRNA from 1 species
GAUGAACGCUGGCGGCGUGCCUAAUACAUGCAAGUCGAGCGAACAGAUGAGGAGCUUGCUCCUCUGACGUUAGCGGCGGACGGGUGAGUAACACGUGGAUAACCUACCUAUAAGACUGGGAUAACUUCGGGAAACCGGAGCUAAUACCGGAUAAUAUAUUAAACCGCAUGGUUCAAUAGUGAAAGACGGUUUUGCUGUCACUUAUAGGUGGAUCCGCGCCGCAUUAGCUAGUUGGUAAGGUAACGGCUUACCAAGGCAACGAUGCGUAGCCGACCUGAGAGGGUGAUCGGCCACACUGGAACUGAGACACGGUCCAGACUCCUACGGGAGGCAGCAGUAGGGAAUCUUCCGCAAUGGGCGAAAGCCUGACGGAGCAACGCCGCGUGAGUGAUGAAGGUCUUCGGAUCGUAAAACUCUGUUAUUAGGGAAGAACAAAUGUGUAAGUAACUAUGCACGUCUUGACGGUACCUAAUCAGAAAGCCACGGCUAACUACGUG